UACAGAGGGUGCGAGCGUUGUCCGGAAUCACUGGGCGUAAAGGGCGCGUAGGUGGCGACCCAAGUCAAUGGUGAAAGCUCGAUGCUCAACAUCGAGUCGGCCACUGAUACUGGGUUGCUCGAGCACUGUAGAGGCAGAUGGAAUUCCGGGUGUAGCGGUGGAAUGCGUAGAGAUCCGGAAGAACACCGGUGGCGAAGGCGGCCUGCUGGGCAGUAUGGCUGACACUGAGGCGCGACAGCGUGGGAGCAAACAGG
rnacentral:rRNA from 1 species